rnacentral:misc_RNA from 1 species
CUUGUUAAAUUUAUUCUUUAGCCAACAUCAUCAAAAUUAACCAGCCCUGUUAUAUCUGUUUGGCUACUAGCAAAAUAGCAAAGCUAGCUAAGACAUUAUUGAUAAUUAAUUAAAUUGCCACUCUUAUACAUAGACAACAUGAUCAAAUACAAACAAUACACCUUCUAGUUUCAACUAAAGUCCAGCCACCAGAAAAUCUAUAAUCUAUUAUAUCCUAUAUAGCCGUAUAGCUAUAAUCAUCUUCCGCCGGCGGGCCCUGACCAAUUACAGUCAACAUAACAAAGGCCCCGUAUAAUAUUGCAACCACAGCAGUGAAGUUGACGAGUAAGGCCUCAGAGCCGUAUUUGGCAAGUCCCGAGUUCUCCAAGAAUGUGAGCUUCUCCAAUAACCCUAAAGCAGCAUUGGCAACUGCCAAAAUAUAUACGAAUACCCCAAAUACCACAUGCCAAGGCAGGGACUCGCUCCUAACUGUAGUUGAACCUCCGGGGAAGAAAAAUACAAGAAACCCGUAUAUCCACUGCCAAGUAAUUAAGAUAUCCACAUUUAGAUUAAUAUCCAUAAUAAAUUCACUCGGAAAAAGGUAGUAAUAUAAGGAACCCUAAUACAGAUUCAUGGUGCAGGGUGCUUUUCAUAAUCCUGCUACCUCCAAGCAAACCAAUUGAUAAAUCACUGAUAUCAUAAAAUGGCUAUGAGAAUUGGUGGCCAGAAAUGUACCGAUAUUAUUUACUUGUGUAAUCCAUCAUGUAAAUAAAUAAGUUGGCUAACAAUUCUUGAUUGAAUAAGCUAUUUAGACUUGAGUUAUUACCUGAAUGCCAUAAAGGACAAUGAUCACAAUGCCAAGCCAUGAAUGCAAGCUGUAAAGAUUGGCAAUGCCACUCUCAUUAUGAUAUUUGAAAGCAGUAUAGAUGCCAAUUAUACCCAGAAUUAGUGCAACGGCAUGCAGAACCAAAUGUACCAAUUUCUUCUCUUGUUUCUUCAAAGGAAGUGAUUUAUAACUUAUAAUGGCUUCGCCUCCUAUGAUGAUCAAGCCAAUUAGCAUCAAAACGGGAUGAAU